AUGUCCCUGCCCCAUCAGGGCACUCAGUCCUUCCUGAGGCCACCCCCUAUUUCCUGUCUGUGGUGGGAGGACAAGAGCCCAGCCUCCCUGCUGGGUCAGAGGUCAAAAGCAGCCACACAUGCAACGAUGAAGGGAUCAGCCAGGAAGUGACUGUGCAGAGUCCUGGACAGAGCCAGCCUCCAGGCCUGAGAGGGGACCAAGGCUGAGAGCUCCGGCGGGGACAAGGGACUCUGCACCAGCAUCCAGUUGUCCCUCAGCCCAUGCCUGUGUCUCCUGGCAACGGAGAUGGGGGCAGGCGUCCUCCACAAGCAGAAGACGAGCCGGGUGAAUUUAGGCGAGAUGCUCACGCUCAGGAAGACGUCUGGCCCGCGAUGCUCACGGCAGCCCUGGGAAGGGGGGCCGGGAUGUGCCCGGCAACAGCCCCUCCAUGGGACGACGCUGUGACAGCACCAGCAGAGCCCCUGUGAGGACAUGUGACAUCCCCAUUACUGUCGGGCGGUGUCCUGGCACCUCUCCUUGGGGAGAGAGCUGGGGCCUGCUUUUCUCCGACUGGUUCUUUGUACUUUGGAAUUUCCUACGUCCUGUGUUACUUGUCAUAAAAACUGACAUUAUUUUUAAAAUGCCGACUAUUAGCCUUAAAAAGGGAGGAUCUGUAACAUGGAGGGAACUUGAGGACGUGAUGCUGAGUGACAGAAGCCACAGAAAGACACACACUACCGACUCCACUCCUGUGAGGUCCCUGGGGUCGUCAAG